rnacentral:rRNA from 1 species
AUGAGGCCGCCGCAGCCACGUACCAUCAAUCCAUCUUCAGAGCUGUACUGUUGCAUGAACCGUGCCAGGCCUCUCUGCCAUCGACGCCACCACGACGCCAGACAGCGCCACCAUCCUGUGCUCGUCCAUCAUCACACGCCCACCGGUGAUACCCCUAUUGCUCCAUGCCGCCGAGACUCGCCGUUGUCGACGUACCAGAUGCCACGCCGCUCCUCCGACGCGAACACGAAAAACAGGAAACGCCCUAAAGAUACAAGGGGCACUCUGCACAACAUGAAAGCCGCCAUCCAGCCGGCAGCCAAAGCCCCCACCUUCAUGAGCCCACACCCGAAUCCUAGCUCCCCAGGCAACGCCUCCAAGGAGGGGAUGACAACCAAGUUCCAUGACACGAUUAAACUCGUGCGUGAGGAAGGGGAGGAGGUGUUUGGAAGGCUGGUGGUUUGUGGCGACAUGCUUCUGAUGGGCGAUGGUGCUCGCAGUUUCUACCGCCUCGACAUGUCAACCAAGCCUGCAACAUGGAUGACCGUGGAGAAUCUGAACAAUUGGGCACUCUUUACAGGAGGGGGACCGACGCUCUCUUGCAAGAGCCCGGAACUAUGGGGAGGGAGGAGCAACGUCGGGUACUCUGCUUAUAGUUCUCAACCUUGGUCUCUCUAUGGGGUGUGUGGCGCGCCAGAUCCCGUGCAGGAUACACUGCCCAUCAAUGUCGAUGUAGAUCGUAUGGUGCCAACUUGGCCGUGCUGGCUGUACCCAAGCAUGUUCUACUCCGAUGGCCGAUGA